UAGCAUAUUCAAAACUCAUCCCUUGUGGAAAAAUCAACACAAUACCGACACCUCCUCCUUGUUUGCAAGUAGAUACAUCAAAGAAUAGAGCCCAAGAGGUCAAUUCUAACAAUGUCACUUCCCCUUCUCGAUGAUGAGUAAUGAAGUCAGCUAUGGCUUGACCUUUGACUGCUUUAACCGAUUCAUAACUUAAAUCAAAUUCUGAUAAUGCAAGAAUCCACUUACCAAUUCUCCCAUUCAAGAUAAGCAUAGACAAAUAUGUUUAAUCACAUCAAACUUGGACACCACUAUGAACUCAAAAGAUAACAAAUAACGUCGAUGUUUAGUGCAUGAAAAAUAUAAGCAUAAACAUAGCUUCUCAAUAGGAGAGUAUCUGGUCUCU
rnacentral:lncRNA from 1 species